rnacentral:sRNA from 1 species
GUUUGUGGUUGAACUCGGGAGGCUAAGGCAGGAGGGAACUUGGCCCAGGAGCUCUGGGCUGUAAUGUGCUAUGUCUAUCAGGUGUCUGCGCUAAAUUUGGCAUCAGUGUGGUGGGCCCUGAGAAGCGCGGACCACGGGUUGCUGAAGGAGGAGUGAAUAGGCUUAGCUUGGAAAGGGAGCAGUCAAAACACCCCUGCUGAUUAGUACUAGGAUUGCACCUGUGAAUCACCACUGCACCCCAGCCUGAAUUAAAAAAAAAAA